CACCUUAUUUGACUCCCUUUAUACAAGAUUUGGUGUCACAACAGGACUUUGGUUGCAACAAUGAUCUAUACAGUCCCAGUUCAUAUUAAUAUCGUCACAACAGGGCCAUGCAGUGGGUGCAGGGCUGCCUCACUCCUGCAUGUAGAUUUCCUGUUGACUCAGAGUAGCCCCCCCUUUGGAGGCUGGGUGAACUGCUAGCCACACCCCGCAGGGAGAGGCAGGAGCAGCAGCUGGGUGCUGCAGGGAGGGGCCACUGCUUUCUGGGAGGGGAGACUGAGAGUAACGGGACAGGGGGGGCUGCCCUAGGGGCCAUGACUCAAGCUGUUCAGGGGUGUACAAACCUUUAAAUUGUGUCCCCACCCCCACUAUCAAUAGAUACAAUGUUGGACGGGCAAUGCCUCUCCAUUCCCACCCAACUCCAUCUAUAAAUGCACUGGGUUUGCAUGGAUAGUUCUGUGUUCUGCACUGCCGUGGGAACUGUCAUGGG